rnacentral:rRNA from 1 species
CCCUUAGAUGUUCUGGGCCGCACGCGUGCUACACUGAGUAAAUCAAUGGGUAAGGGAACACGAAAGUGCAACCUAAUCUUGAAAUUUGCUCGUGAUGGGGAUCGACGGUUGCAAUUUUCCGUCGUGAACGAGGAAUACCUUGUAGGCGCGUGUCAUCAUCACGCGCCGAAUACGUCCCUGCCCUUUGUACACACCGCCCGUCGCUCCUACCGAUUGAAUGCUCAGGUGAGCCAUUCGGACUUUCAUCAUGCUGGUUUCCAGUUUUGAUGAAGGAAGGUCUUGCGAACCUUAUCAUUUAGAGGAAGGAGAAGUCGUAACA